GCAUAGGUCAGCGGUAGAGCUUCUGUCUUGCAUGCAGAAGGUCCCAGGUUCAAUCCCCGGCAGCUCCA